AACCGCCGUGUGCGGAACCGCUUGCUCGGUGGUGUGGGAGGGGCGCAGCCCGUUGGCUGCCCCCUAUCCCGAU
rnacentral:autocatalytically_spliced_intron from 1 species